CUCCUACGGGAGGCAGCAGUGGGGAAUAUUGGACAAUGGGCGAAAGCCUGAUCCAGCAAUGCCGCGUGAGUGAUGAAGGCCUUAGGGUUGUAAAGCUCUUUUACCCGGGAUGAUAAUGACAGUACCGGGAGAAUAAGCUCCGGCUAACUCCGUGCCAGCAGCCGCGGUAAUACGGAGGGA
rnacentral:rRNA from 1 species